AUAAAGUUAAGCGAAUAGUGGCUGUUUUUGGCCAAGCUAUUUUGUCGAAAAUCUAAACAAAAACUAAACAUGUAGAACGCUUUUUGAUGGCUUGUUUGGACGAGAGUUCGAUUCUCUCCGACUCCACAA
rnacentral:tmRNA from 1 species